rfam:Triticum aestivum genome assembly, contig: Triticum_aestivum_CS42_TGACv1_scaffold_019022_1AS
CUUGUACUCCCUCCGUCCCUAAAUUCUUAUCUUAAAUUUGUCUAAAUACGAAUGUAUCUAGUUAUGUUUAGUGUUAGAUACAUCUGUAUCUAGAUAAAUAUAAGACAAAAUUUUUGAAACGGAAGGAGUACUAU